GUAGGUGGCAAGCGUUGUCCGGAAUUAUUGGGCGUAAAGCGCGCGCAGGCGGUUCUUUAAGUCUGAUGUGAAAGCCCACGGCUCAACCGUGGAGGGUCAUUGGAAACUGGAGAACUUGAGUACAGAAGAGGAAAGCGGAAUUCCACGUGUAGCGGUGAAAUGCGUAGAGAUGUGGAGGAACACCAGUGGCGAAGGCGGCUUUCUGGUCUGUAACUGACGCUGAGGCGCGAAAGCGUGGGGAGCAAACAGGAUUAGAUACCCUGGUAGUCCACGCCGUAAACGACGAGUGCUAAGUGUUAGGGGGGUUUCCGCCCCCUUAGUGCUGCAGCUAACGCAUUAAGCACUCCGCCUGGGGAUACGGCCGCAAGGCUG
rnacentral:rRNA from 1 species